rnacentral:lncRNA from 1 species
AUGUGGGGAGGUCUCUCAGUCAUUCAGCUUCCUCUUUCUUAUCAAUGCUGCAAUGAGCCAAGCUUUGGAAACAUGCUGAAGGCCUCAGGCUCCCAGGAGCAACACAUAACUUUACAGAGUGCUAUAAGGCUGAGCAGUCCGGCACGAGGACUGAGCAAGAAGCCCUUGAUUUCCAUAGGAGGCCACAGGCAAAAUGUGGAACACAGGAGGCUCUCUCUGAGCACCAGGCAACGCUGCUGUGCUGUGCGGGUGAUGGAGCACUGGCACAGGCUGCCCAGAGGCUGUGGGGUCUCCUCCUUGGAGAUCUUCAGAAGCUGCCUGGACGUGGGCCUGGGCACCCUGCACUGAGUGUCCCUGCUUGGGCAGGGGUUGGAGCAGGUGGACCCAGAGGUUCCUUCCCACCUCAGCCAUACUGUGAUGCUGUAGGAAAAUUUGCCUUCCAGCUGCUGUGGUGCAGGUUUCAGUGCUGGGUUUGCUCCCUGCUUGCUGCAGUGCCCUGCCCAGGUGGUUUCUUGCCAUGAACCCAGGGUGGCUUGGGGUGGCUGCUCCUCCUCUGCCUUGUGGGGCAGGUAGGAGCCCUGUGAAAUGUUUCUCCCUGUGCAGUGUCAACUAGGUCACCCUGCAGAGGUACUAAAUCUUCACAAACUCACCUCAUCCUCCCCAGAAUCCCUUCAAGGCAUGUGGCUGACCUCUGCUUUCUGUGUCCAUGAUUGAGGAUGGAGGUGAACAUGCUGUGGGCAAACACCUGCCAAAACUACGUCCCCUGCGGUAACACCUAACCUAGAUACAAACCCUCGGCUAAGGAGGUUAUUCCUCUUCAAACCAGCAGCAAUAUCCCUGCACCACUGGAGCUACUCCGCAUAGCAUGGAGGGCAGGCUGCCUGCUUUUCCUGCCUGCAGGAGCAGUGCAAGCUUUCAUCCUCCCCUCCUGAUCGUGGCUGCGCAGGCAGCAUGCUGGCCAGGCCAUUUAUCUCCUCAUCACUAGGAUUUUGAUAAAUUAUUUAAAAUGCAGCCAGCAGGAGGGGAGAUCUGGCUGACCGCAUGGUUAUAUUUCAGAAAAGCAAGCUUUUUGUUAUGCAUAAAGGCAGAGGUAUGGAAUUUAGUGUCCUGGAUACACGCAACACAUUCCAGACAUGGGUGAGACCUUUAUGAAAGGUGGAUAUGUAUUUUUAAACCGGCAUGCUGCUGCUCAUGGACAUUUUUGCAUGCCUCCUCUCUGCAGAACCUCACUGCUUUUCACCCAUCAGAUCCAUCAGGGAUGCUGCCAGCCUCUCCCAGCUUCUAUUUUAUCCUAUUGCCUUUAAUGAGGCAUAAAUAGUACUGACACACACCAGUGUAUCAAACAACAUCGCCAGACAGAAAAAGCACACAGCACAUCAGUCAUGGCUCUUAAUUUGUUUGUGGAACUGCUGCCUGGUUCUCUGCUGCAGCCCCAGGGCUGCACCUUGCAGUCCUUCUUCCUCAGAGAGCUCUUCCCUGGGUGUGCAGAUGGGAGUCCCUCCAUGAUCGAGGUUUGGAUGUUCAGCACUGCCACCAUCCCCAGUAUAAAUACUUUGGCACUUGCACAUAGCGUAAGCCCAUUCAAAGCAUGUCGUAAAAAGGCUUAAAUGAGUUCUUAAAGCCAUAAGUUUUACUUCAGCUCUGAAGCAUUGCAGAAUUCUGACCAUUAUGGAUUUAUCCCUUUCCCAAAUUACAUUUUUUUUUAAUGAGAGAUUCAUCCUCAAGCUCGGAAGUGCUAAAAUGCCUGUAAAAUGAAUUGCAUCAAAGGUAAAUAAAUAAAUAAAUAAAAAGAGAGAGAAAGAUGCA